rnacentral:rRNA from 1 species
UCCCUACGGGGUGCACCAGGCGCGAAACCUCCGCAAUGCACGCAAGUGCGACGGGGGGACCCCAAGUGCCACUCUUAACGGGGUGGCUUUUCUAGAGUGUAAAAAGCUUUAGGAAUAAGAGCUGGGCAAGACCGGUGCCAGCCGCCGCGGUAAUACA